CCGUAACUAUAACGGUCCUAAGGUAGCGAAAUUCCUUGUCGGGUAAGUUCCGACCUGCACGAAUGGCAUAAUGAUGGCCAGGCUGUCUCCACCCGAGACUCAGUGAAAUUGAAAUCGCCGUGAAGAUGCGGUGUACCCGCGGCUAGACGGAAAGACCCCGUGAACCUUUACUAUAGCUUGACACUGAACAUUGAAUUUUGAUGUGUAGGAUAGGUGGGAGACUUAGAAGUAGUCACGCCAGUGAUUAUGGAGUCGUCCUUGAAAUACCACCCUUUAACGUUUGAUGUUCUAACGAAGAUUACGAAACGUGGUCUCGGACAGUGUCUGGUGGGUAGUUUGACUGGGGCGGUCUCCUCCCAAAGAGUAACGGAGGAGCACGAAGGUUUGCUAAUGACGGUCGGACAUCGUCAGGUUAGUGCAAUGGUAUAAGCAAGCUUAACUGCGAGACAGACAAGUCGAGCAGGUACGAAAGUAGGUCAUAGUGAUCCGGUGGUUCUGAAUGGAAGGGCCAUCGCUCAACGGAUAAAAGGUACUCCGGGGAUAACAGGCUGAUACCGCCCAAGAGUUCAUAUCGACGGCGGUGUUUGGCACCUCGAUGUCGGCUCAUCACAUCCUGGGGCUGAAGUAGGUCCCAAGGGUAUGGCUGUUCGCCAUUUAAAGUGGUACGCGAGCUGGGUUUAGAACGUCGUGAGACAGUUCGGUCCCUAUCUGCCGUGGGCGUUGGAGAAUUGAUUGGGGCUGCUCCUAGUACGAGAGGACCGGAGUGGACGCACCACUGGUGUUCCGGUUGUGUCGCCAGACGCAUUGCCGGGUAGCUAAGUGCGGAAGAGAUAAGUGCUGAAAGCAUCUAAGCACGAAACUUGCCAAGAGAUGAGUUCUCCCAGAUUACAAAUCUGUAAGGGUUGUUUAAGACUAAGACGUAGAUAGGUGCGGUGUGUAAGUGUAGUGAUACAUUGAGCUAACGCAUACUAAUUGCCCGAGAGGCUUAACUAU
rnacentral:rRNA from 1 species